AACGAACGCUGGCGGCACGCCUAACACGUGCAAGUCGAACGAAGGCUUCGGCCUUAGUGGCGCACGGGUGAGUAACGCGUGGGAAACUGCCUAUUGGUGGGGAAUAACGACGGGAAACUGUCGCUAAUACCGCAUAAGCCCUUCGGGGGAAAGAUUUAUCGCCGAUAGAUGUGCCCGCGUCCGAUUAGCUAGUUGGUGAGGUAAUGGCUCACCAAGGCGACGAUCGGUAGCUGGUCUGAGAGGAUGAUCAGCCACACUGGGACUGAGACACGGCCCAGACUCCUACGGGAGGCAGCAGUGGGGAAUAUUGGACAAUGGGCGAAAGCCUGAUCCAGCAAUGCCGCGUGAGUGAUGAAGGCCUUAGGGUUGUAAAGCUCUUUCGGGUGGGACGAUGAUGACGGUACCACCAGAAGAAGCCCCGGCUAACUUCGUGCCAGCCGCCGCCGUAA
rnacentral:rRNA from 1 species